rnacentral:misc_RNA from 1 species
CGCACAUUGCGCCCCUCGGUAUUCCGUGGGGCAUGCCUGUUCGAGCGUCAUCUACACCCUCAAGCUCUGCUUGGUGUUGGGCGUCUGUCCCGCCUCCGCGCGUGGACUCGCCCCAAAUUCAUUGGCAGCGGUCCUUGCCUCCUCUCGCGCAGCACAUUGCGCUUCUCGAGGGGCUACGGCUCGCGUCCAACAAGCACAUUUACCGUCUUUGACCUCGGAUCAGGUAGGGAUACCCGCUGAACUUAA